GACGAACGCUGGCGGUGUGCUUAACACAUGCAAGUCGAACGGUAAGGCCCUUUCGGGGGUCCACGGGUGGCGACCGGGUGCGUAACACGUGCGUAACCUGCACCCAUCUCUGGGAUAACAGUCGGAUACGGUUGCCAAUACUGGAUCUGAGCCAGCUAGGCAUCCUGUGGGUUGGAAAGAUUUUUUGGUUGGGGCUGGACUGGCGACAUAUCAGCUUGUUGGGGUGGUAGUGGCUCACCAAGGCGUCGAGGUGUAGCCGCACUGAGGGGCCGACCUGCCAUAUAGGGACUGAGAGACGGCCCAAACUCGGACGGGUGGGAGCAGUGGGGAAGAUUGAACGAGGGACGGAAGGCUGAUGCAGCAGCGCUGCGUGCGGUAUGACGGCCUUCUUGUUGUAGACCGAAUGCAAUUGUGACGAAGCUUGUUGUGACGGUAGCAAAAGAGGAAGCACCGGCUAACUACGUG
rnacentral:rRNA from 1 species